AGUGAACGCUGGCGGUAGGCCUAACACAUGCAAGUCGAACGGCAGCACAGUAAGAGCUUGCUCUUACGGGUGGCGAGUGGCGGACGGGUGAGGAAUACAUCGGAAUCUACUUUUUCGUGGGGGAUAACGUAGGGAAACUUACGCUAAUACCGCAUACGACCUACGGGUGAAAGCAGGGGAUCUUCGGACCUUGCGCGAUUGAAUGAGCCGAUGUCGGAUUAGCUAGUUGGCGGGGUAAAGGCCCACCAAGGCGACGAUCCGUAGCUGGUCUGAGAGGAUGAUCAGCCAGACUGGAACUGAGAAACGGUCCAGACUCCUACGGGAGGCAGCAGUGGGGAAUAUUGGACAAUGGGCGCAAGCCUGAUCCAGCCAUACCGCGUGGGUGAAGAAGGCCUUCGGGUUGUAAAGCCCUUUUGUUGGGAAAGAAAAGCAGCAGGUUAAUACCCCGCUGUUCUGACGGUACCCAAAGAAUAAGCACCGGCUAACUUCGUG
rnacentral:rRNA from 1 species